rnacentral:rRNA from 1 species
CAGCAGUAGCCGCGGGAAUACGGAGGGAGCUAGCGUUGUUCGGAAUUACUGGGCGUAAAGCGCACGUAGGCGGCUCAGCAAGUCAGGGGUGAAAUCCCGGGGCUCAACCCCGGAACUGCCCUUGAAACUGCUAGGCUAGAAUCUUGGAGAGGCGAGUGGAAUUCCGAGUGUAGAGGUGAAAUUCGUAGAUAUUCGGAAGAACACCAGUGGCGAAGGCGACUCGCUGGACAAGUAUUGACGCUGAGGUGCGAAAGCGUGGGGAGCAAACAGGAUUAGAUACCCCGGUAGUCCCUGUCUCUUAUAC